AGCGAACGCUGGCGGCAGGCCUAACACAUGCAAGUCGAACGGGGCAGCAAUGCCUAGUGGCGGACGGGUGAGGAAUACGUAGGAAUCUGCCCUUAAGUGGGGGAUAACCAGGGGAAACCCUGACUAAUACCGCAUGAUCUCUUCGGAGCAAAGAGGGGGACCGCAAGGCCUCUCGCUUCUGGAUGAGCCUACGUCUGAUUAGCUAGUUGGUAGGGUAAAGGCCUACCAAGGCGACGAUCAGUAACUGGUCUGAGAGGAUGAUCAGUCACACCGGAACUGAGACACGGUCCGGACUCCUACGGGAGGCAGCAGUGGGGAAUAUUGGACAAUGGGCGCAAGCCUGAUCCAGCAAUGCCGCGUGUGUGAAGAAGGCCUUCGGGUUGUAAAGCACUUUAGCCUGGAAAGAAAAAACUUUGGUUAACACCCAAAGUCUUGACGGUACCAGGAGAAUAAGCACCGGCUAACUCUGUGCCAGCAGCCGCGGUAAUAC
rnacentral:rRNA from 1 species